UUGACCUCAGAUCAGGUAGGAAUACCCGCUGAACUUAAGCAUAUCAAUAAGCGGAGGAAAAGAAACCAACAGGGAUUGCCCUAGUAACGGCGAGUGAAGCGGCAACAGCUCAAAUUUGAAAUCUGGCGCAAGCCCGAGUUGUAAUUUGUAGAGGAUGUUUCUGGCGACGUGCCUUCCGAGUUCCCUGGAACGGGACGCCAUAGAGGGUGAGAGCCCCGUACGGUUGGAUGCCUAGCCUCUGUGAAACUCCUUCGACGAGUCGAGUAGUUUGGGAAUGCUGCUCUAAAUGGGAGGUAUACGUCUUCUAAAGCUAAAUACCGGCCAGAGACCGAUAGCGCACAAGUAGAGUGAUCGAAAGAUGAAAAGCACUUUGAAAAGAGGGUUAAAAAGUACGUGAAAUUGUUGAAAGGGAAGCGUUCAUGACCAGACUUGGGCAGGUUGAUCAUCCGUGGUUCUCCGCGGUGCACUCUGCCUGCCCAGGCCAGCAUCAGUUCGCCCCGGGGGAUAAAGGUUUUGGGAAUGUGGCUCCCUCGGGAGUGUUAUAGCCCCACUGCGUAAUACCCUGGGGUGGACUGAAGGUUC
rnacentral:rRNA from 1 species